AACUUGUCGAAAUCUGGCAGUUGUUGUGGCUACUGAAAGGGCAAAUGUUCCCCUAUUUAUUUAUGUUCCUUCCUGCCAAAUGAUGGCUCGCUCUGUUGCAGCACAAAGGACCUGAAAAUUGUUCAAAUCUGGCAGUUUUUGUGGCUACUGAAAAGGCAAAUGUUCCCCUAUUCGUUUAUGGGCUUGGCACCUGAUGAUCUGCGUGGGGACGUAUUAAGUCCUGAACCCCAAACAGGACGGGUGAUGAAGUCAAUGACAACACCAGACCCUUAACUUGCAGAUUCAGCAUGGCGUCGUUUGCCAAAGAAUGUCAGGGUAGUUUCGAAGUUCCUUCCCACGCAGUGAUGGCUCUCUAUGUUGCAGCAUAAAAGACCUGAAAAUUGUCCAAAUCUGGCAGUCCUUGUAACAUCUGGUAGGGCGAGUGUUUCUCUAUCCACUGAUGUUCCUUCCUGCGAAAUGAUGGCUCGCUCUGUUGCAGCACAAAGGACCUGAAAAUUGUCCAAAUCUGGCAGUCUUUGUGGCUACUGAAAGGGCGAAUGUUCCCCUAUUCAUUGAUGUUCCUUCUUGCGCAAUGAUGGCUCGCUCUGUUGCAGCACAAAAGACCUGAAAAUUGUGGAAAUCUGGCAGAAAUCUUAUCAUUCCUUCUUGAGCAAUGAUGGCUCUCUAAGUUGCAGCAUAAAAGACCUGAAAAUUGUCGAAAUCUCGCAGUCCUUGUGGCUUAUUAAAGGGCGAAUGUUCCGUGAUUCAU